UACGUAGGUGGCAAGCGUUGUCCGGAUUUAUUGGGUUUAAAGGGUGCGUAGGUGGCGGGGUAAGUCUGGUGUGAAAGCUCCGAGCUCAACUCGGAAAAGCAUUGGAAACUAUCCCGCUUGAGGGUCGGAGGGGAGACUGGAAUUCUCGGUGUAGCAGUGAAAUGCGUAGAUAUCGAGAGGAACACCAGUGGCGAAGGCGAGUCUCUGGACGACUCCUGACACUGAGGCACGAAAGCUAGGGGAGCAAACAGG
rnacentral:rRNA from 1 species